rnacentral:rRNA from 1 species
GAUGAACGCUGGCGGCGUGCCUAAUACAUGCCAGUCGAGCGAACAGACGAGGAGCUUGCUCCUCUGACGUUAGCGGCGGACGGGUGAGUAACACGUGGAUAACCUACCUAUAAGACUGGGAUAACUUCGGGAAACCGGAGCUAAUACCGGAUAAUAUAUUGAACCGCAUGGUUCAAUAGUGAAAGACGGUUUUGCUGUCACUUAUAGAUGGAUCCGCGCCGCAUUAGCUAGUUGGUAAGGUAACGGCUUACCAAGGCAACGAUGCGUAGCCGACCUGAGAGGGUGAUCGGCCACACUGGAACUGAGACACGGUCCAGACUCCUACGGGAGGCAGCAGUAGGGAAUCUUCCGCAAUGGGCGAAAGCCUGACGGAGCAACGCCGCGUGAGUGAUGAAGGUCUUCGGAUCGUAAAACUCUGUUAUUAGGGAAGAACAAAUGUGUAAGUAACUAUGCACGUCUGGACGGUACCUAAUCAGAAAGCCACGGCUAACUAAGU